rnacentral:rRNA from 1 species
CGCGAAUCGCCCUUGGGGUGCACCAGGCGCGAAAACUUUGCAAUACACGAAAGUGUGACAGGGUCAUCCCGAGUGCCGACCGCUGAGGUUGGCUUUUACCCAGUCUAGAAAGCUGGGGGAAUAAGGAGAGGGCAAGUCUGGUGUCAGCCGCCGCGGUAAUACCAGCUCUCCGAGUGGUGUGGACGUUUAUUGGGCCUAAAGCAUCCGUAGCUGGCUGAACAAGUCCCCUGUUAAACCCACCGAUUUAAUCGUUGGUCUGCGGGGGAUACUGCUCGGCUAGGGGACGAGAGAGGCAGACGGUAUUCCCGGGGUAGGGGUGAAAUCCUAUAAUCCCGAGAAGACCACCAGUGGCGAAGGCUGUCUGCUAGAACGCGCCCGACGGUGAGGGAUGAAAGCUGGGGGAGCGAACCGGAUUAGAUACCCGGGUAGUCCCAGCUGUAAACGAUGCAGACUAGGUGUUUGGACGGCCACGUGCCGUUCUAGUGCCGCAGGGAAGCUGUUAAGUCUGCCGCCUGGGGAGUACGAUCGCAAGAUUGAAACUUAAAGGAAUUGGCGGGGGAGCAC